GCAAGUCGAACGAGCCCUUUCGGGGGUUAGUGGCGGACGGGUGAGUAACGCGUGAGGAUCUGCCUACAGGAUGGGGACAACAACGGGAAUCUGUUGCUAAAACCCAAUGUGCCGAGAGGUGAAAUAUUUUAUAGCCUGUAGAUGAGCUCGCGUCUGAUUAGCUAGUUGGUGGUGUAAGGGACUACCAAGGCGACGAUCAGUAGCUGGUCUGAGAGGACGAUC
rnacentral:rRNA from 1 species